GCCUCUGCGUGCCCUCGUGGAAUCUCAUUAAUGCUACAUUUCGGGAACUAGUUAAAUGGAUGUGAUUUCAUUUUUUUUCUCCCUUCCUCCCUUCCCCAUUGUGGUGCAUGCAUUCAUCUUCAACGUGCUCCGGCUGGCGUUUGGAAGUAGUUCCGGUGGCUUCAGAAGGCGAGCGCAGCGCACCGAGCCGGCAGCUUCGCGCCGGCGCCGACGAGAAAAUCGCCGGGUCGAGUCCGCCCGUCGUGACUGUCGGAUGACCCGCAGCCCGCGAAUCAGAGUGGGGUCGGAAUGCAGGAUCUCUGCUCCAGUGAUGAGUAACAGUUGCGUGACAUUCUGGGUCCAGUAGUGACACAUCUACGGAUGCACUGCGACUGACGGCAGCACAGAACAGAACGGCGUUGCAGCAGCGGCCAUUGCCGCGGCUAAAUGAAGAACUUUUGAGGAUGCACGAGGGAAGGACGCUACCUUUCACUUCGGUGACUUCCCCAAAUGCUUUGGCCCAAAGAAAGAUGGAAAGAAUGAGAAGAACCUGAGCCAUCGCACAUCGCCCAUCCAGUGAGCCAACGGGAGAGCGUCCACGCGCCACGUCGCCGAGCCUCCCACCCUUUUGACCUGUCCCCCCCC